rnacentral:rRNA from 1 species
UGGGGAAUUUUGGACAAUGGGCGAAAGCCUGAUCCAGCAAUGCCGCGUGUGUGAAGAAGGCCUUCGGGUUGUAAAGCACUUUUGUCCGGAAAGAAAUCCUUGGCUCUAAUACAGUCGGGGGAUGACGGUACCGGAAGAAUAAGCACCGGCUAACUACGUGCCAGCAGCCGCGGUAAUACGUAGGGUGCAAGCGUUAAUCGGAAUUACUGGGCGUAAAGCGUGCGCAGGCGGUUUGCUAAGACCGAUGUGAAAUCCCCGGGCUCAACCUGGGAACUGCAUUGGUGACUGGCAGGCUAGAGUAUGGCAGAGGGGGUAGAAUUCCACGUGUAGCAGUGAAAUGCGUAGAGAUGUGGAGGAAUACCGAUGGCGAAGGCAGCCCCCUGGGCCAAUACUGACGCUCAUGCACGAAAGCGUGGGGAGCAAACAGGAUUAGAUACCCUGGUAGUCCACGCCCUAAACGAUGUCAACUAGUUGUUGGGGAUUCAUUUCCUUAGUAACGUAGCUAACGCGUGAAGUUGACCGCCUGGGGAGUACGGUCGCAAGAUUAAAACUUAAAGGAAUUGAC